AGAGUUUGAUCCUGGCUCAGGAUGAACGCUAGCGGGAGGCUUAACACAUGCAAGCCGAGGGGUAUAUAAUUGCUUGCAAUUAUAGAGACCGGCGGAUGGGUGAGUAACGCGUAUGAAACCUGCCCUAUUCAUCAGGAUAGCCCUAGGAAACUGGGAUUAAUACUGAAUAACACUAUUGUCGGCAUCGUUAAUAGUUAAAAGAUUUAUCGGAAUAGGAUGGUCAUGCGUCAGAUUAGUUAGUUGGUAGGGUAACUGCCUACCAAGGCGAUGAUCUGUAGGGGGCCUGAGAGGGUGAUCCCCCACACUGGUACUGAGACACGGACCAGACUCCUACGGGAGGCAGCAGUGAGGAAUAUUGGACAAUGGGUGAGAGCCUGAUCCAGCCAUCCCGCGUGCAGGAAGAAUGCCUUAUGGGUUGUAAACUGCUUUUAUACAGGAAUAAACCACUUUACGUGUAAGGUGUUGAAGGUACUGUAUGAAUAAGCAUCGGCUAACUCCGUGCCAGCAGCCGCGGUAAUACGGAGGAUGCAAGCGUUAUCCGGAUUUAUUGGGUUUAAAGGGUCCGUAGGCGGGCGUAUAAGUCAGGGGUGAAAUCCGACAGCUUAACUGUCGAACUGCCUUUGAAACUGUAUGUCUUGAGUGAGAUUGAAGCAGCUGGAAUGUGUAGUGUAGCGGUGAAAUGCAUAGAUAUUACACAGAACACCGAUAGCGUAGGCAGGUUGCUAAGUCUUUACUGACGCUGAUGGACGAAAGCGUGGGGAGCAAACAGGAUUAGAUACCCUGGUAGUCCACGCCGUAAACGUUGGAUACUGUCUAUUGGAAUUUUCAGUGGAUAAGCGAAAGUGAUAAGUAUCCCACCUGGGGAGUACGUUCGCAAGAAUGAAACUCAAAGGAAUUGACGG
rnacentral:rRNA from 1 species